rnacentral:rRNA from 1 species
UACAGGAGGUCUCAAGCUGUUGUUCGGAAUUCAUUGGGCGUAAAAGGGUGCGUAGGUGGCGGGGUUAAGUCAGGUGUGAAAUUUCGGAGCUCAACUCCGAAACUGCAUUUGAUACUGCCUUGCUUGAGGACUGGAGAGGAGGACUGGGAAUUCACGGUGUAGCAGUGAAAAUGCGUAGAGAUCGUGAGGAAGACCAGUGGCGAAGGCGGGAUC